AACGCUGGCGGCGUGCCUAAUACAUGCAAGUAGAACGCUGAAGAGAGGAGCUUGCUCUUCUUGGAUGAGUUGCGAACGGGUGAGUAACGCGUAGGUAACCUGCCUUGUAGCGGGGGAUAACUAUUGGAAACGAUAGCUAAUACCGCAUAACAAUGGAUGACACAUGUCAUUUAUUUGAAAGGGGCAAUUGCUCCACUACAAGAUGGACCUGCGUUGUAUUAGCUAGUAGGUGAGGUAACGGCUCACCUAGGCGACGAUACAUAGCCGACCUGAGAGGGUGAUCGGCCACACUGGGACUGAGACACGGCCCAGACUCCUACGGGAGGCAGCAGUAGGGAAUCUUCGGCAAUGGGGGCAACCCUGACCGAGCAACGCCGCGUGAGUGAAGAAGGUUUUCGGAUCGUAAAGCUCUGUUGUAAGAGAAGAACGAGUGUGAGAGUGGAAAGUUCACACUGUGACGGUAGCUUACCAGAAAGGGACGGCUAACUACGUGCCAGCAGCCGCGGUAAUACGUAGGUCCCGAGCGUUAUCCGGAUUUAUUGGGCGUAAAGCGAGCGCAGGCGGUUUGAUAAGUCUGAAGUUAAAGGCUGUGGCUCAACCAUAGUUCGCUUUGGAAACUGUCAAACUUGAGUGCAGAAGGGGAGAGUGGAAUUCCAUGUGUAGCGGUGAAAUGCGUAGAUAUAUGGAGGAACACCGGUGGCGAAAGCGGCUCUCUGGUCUGUAACUGACGCUGAGGCUCGAAAGCGUGGGGAGCGAACAGGAUUAGAUACCCUGGUAGUCCACGCCGUAAACGAUGAGUGCUAGGUGUUGGAUCCUUUCCGGGAUUCAGUGCCGCAGCUAACGCAUUAAGCACUCCGCCUGGGGAGUACGACCGCAAGGUUGAAACUCAAAGGAAU
rnacentral:rRNA from 1 species